CCAGCAUUUGCGUUCAGAACAGAUUUUGUACAAUCUGUGAGUUUUUGCUACUUUUCUGCCGACACGAGUAAAAUAUCUGUUCAGAAGAGAAGCUCCAGUCUCCAGUGGUUAGUGGUUAACACUGUUGCCUCGCACCUCCGGGGUUUGGGGUUCAAAUCCCACCUCCGUCCUGUCCGGUGUGUGCGGAGUUUGCAUGUUCUCCCCAUGCUUCAGGGGUUUCCUCCGGGUACUCCGGUUUCCUCCCCAGUCCAAAGACAUGCGUUGCAGGCUGAUUGGCGUUUCCAAAUUGUCCGGAGAGUGUGUGAAUGCGUGCGCGAUUGUGCCCUGCGAUGGCUUUGCACCCUGUCCAGGGUGUCCCCCGCCUCGUGCCCCGAGUUCCCUGUGAUAGGCUCCAGGCUCCCCUGCGACCCUGUAGGAUAAGCGGUAUGGAUGGAUGGAUGGAUGGAUGGAUGAUGUGGACCACCAACAUUCGAACAGUCAGAACAAAGAAUAAAUGUUGUUUCAGAGAGCUACGCCAACAGGCCAAAUCCCCAAUGGUUCACUAUGUAGGGUGCUACAUAGUGGUAGUGUACACCCUACCUAGUGCACUACAUGGCUGAUAGAACACCGUUUGAGAUUCAGCCACAUUUUUAUUAUUUUUUUUCCCCCCCAAGUUGCUUUCCAGAGAGUCAAGCAGCACACCUUGUAAAGUAAAAUGAGCAAUUUGAAAAGGUAAGGCAGCAUUUUUACUUUUUUGUUCGUGUCACUUGUCAGCCCACAACCUCCUUCAACGUUCACAGUUAAGUGUUCGAGAUGGGAAACUGACACACAACGCACCAUGAUAGGGUUAAUCCUGGAUUCUUUUUGAGGGUCAUGCAGGGAAGAUGCAAAGAUAAUCAGAUGAUCUGCCUUGACGCUGACAAAGUGGAGCAUCUCUAUCAAUAAUUUACACCCGUUAUAGGCAUGAAUAAUGCAGCUUCUGGCAGGACUCGGGCUUCUGUGCAGCGCCGUGUGAAAGCGACGCCUGGCUGCGAGAUGUUGCCUGUGCGAAGGCUGAUUUAUCACACCGAUCCUGCACCAUUGAUCAUUGUCUGCUGUGUAAUCACUUCCUGUCUGUAACUGGAAUCGUUGGUUUUUGGAAGCUUCAUAAACUAACAACAUAUGCCAGUCUUGCAAUCCUUUUCUUGCACCAGAUGCCGGAUUCGAUGCCUCUGUCUCGGCUCUAAUUAAAAGAUGAAGAGACGGAGGACCCCGGAUGAGUUUCUCUCUCUUUUAAUUAACAGUGGGGGUUUUUUUUGUUUUUUUUUUUGUGUCGGCACAUGCAUCAGGAGGCUUGGCUGUGUGCUGCUGCGAGAAAAAAAAAAGAAGUGAUAGUGAGAAAACCCUCCUCUUGCAGAAUAACUCGAGCUUUUCUAAUUUGAAGCAAAAAGCUGCUGUGUUUUGGUCUCCCUGCUGAUUUACUUCUGCUGAGAGACUGACAAGGCCAGCAGGUUCACAGCAUUCCCUCGUGAAUUGAAUCGUAUACGACGGCGAGGAAGAGAACGUGUAUGGGUUGGCGUGUGAGCACUGCCUACUUAAAGCAAAAUCGGUAUAAACAGUCCCGGGAAUAAUCGCGAUAAACGAUAUUAUUGUCAUUUUAAGACCGUUUUAUGCCACUGAUAUAAUAAUAUAACGGCAUGAUAGUGCAAGUACAACCUUUUAAAGAGCAAUGAGCGUUUAAUUCUUAAGAAUAUUCAGACUUUGGUUGAUGAUGUAUGUAAAAAGUCUGAUCAGUCUCGUAUGUGUAUAGGAUGCGUUUGGACGAGUUCAUUAACCCGCGCUUCAUUUCGCCGCCGUUCGUUCACUGUCCAGCUCCAGCUCACGCAGCUGAAGCGGCUCAGUCCCCGACCUUACUGACUACGACUGGAUUAUUUCAUACACUAGAACUAUUCUUUCUAGAUUUUUCUUCUUCAAAAAAGCAUCGUUAGUGCGUUGUUAAUAUCCUGCAUGUCGUUUUUUUUUCCCCCCACAGUACGUUUUAGUUAAAAUCGACGCUAAUGUUUGUGGCACAUCUUAAGUACCAAUGCACAAAGUUUUUGCAUCGGAAGGUGCGUUUAUUUAUUUAUUUUUAUCUUAAAUUCAACGCAUAUUCGAAGUCGGAAUUUUUCAUUUGACAGCCCUAGAGCAGACGAGAGGACAGAAGCAGCACGCGGACGGAUAAAAUGUUGAUGACAUUUCAUUCUAAAUGUAGACAAACACGCACGUAGACACAGUGGGCGAUAUCGAGGUCGGCAGAAACGAUCGAAGUCACGUACGUAUAUCGUACAAUAAGUCGAUAAUGUAAUUAUCGGGACAGGCCUAACUAUAUAAAAAGCAUUUUCAAAUAUAACUCGUGUACUAGAAUGAUUUUUUUUUUUUUUCUCUCUCUCUUUAAAAUUUUUUAUUACGUUAUUAAUUUUUUCUUCUGGUUCUGAGCGCUUCAGAGACUUUUUCAUGUUCAAGUCUAGUUUAGUUUUUGUCCUGUUUGUGUAGCGUUAUCAUAGUCCAUUAUACAGCGUUCUCCUUAAACCUUUGAUACCUUUUAUACGUGGCUGAUAUUACUGAUAACGUUACGAUAAUUCUAAAUUCGCUACUUUCUAAAGUCAACCUAGAACUGAGAUAGAAGCGUAGCUCUUUAUUAAUAUUAUAUUAAUAUUCUUAAUGUGUGCUUUUACAGGUAACUCUUUUUCUUUUUUGCUUUUUCUCUUCAUCUUGUGGUGUUUGUGGGAUAUUUGUUUCCAACCUUCGGUGAAAAGAAAGAUGUUCAGAAAUUCAUUAAGGAAAACAACCUUUGUGGGGUGGGUGGGGGCCUGGAAAAUAAUCAACAGUGGGGUGGUAUGAUGUUGCAGAGUUACUGUUAACACCCCAAUGUUGAUUAUUUUCACAUUACACCAUUCUCCAUAGUGUUUCAUUCCUCUUAUAUCCCAGCAAUUUGAUCAAUGAUUACAAAUUUUUUUUAAAUAAAAAUAAUGACACACAAUUUUUCAAAUGAGGUCAUAGUUAUAUUUAAUGUUGUAUGUAAUGUUUUUUUUUUUGUCAUUGUAGAAAUGAUAACCUAUCAGGGUGAGUGUGUUGUUAAUAACCUUGCAGUCGGAACUACGGUCAGAGCUGCUGUUUUAGAAAAUGAAUCAACACUUUCUCGACCCAUCGGAAUCAAGAAUUCGACAGCGCUGUGCUGGGACUGCUGUCCUUCACGUGCGUAUGCGCUGUUACUCCAACUGCUGACCUUGCUUUUGUAUGCAAAGGCUCCACCUUCUGUUGCGUGCCUGACAAUGACUAAAAAUAUCCUAAAGGCAUGUAGUGGCUGUCGAUCGAGAUUCAAGGACAGGCCAAUAUACAACUUGCUCACAAGUACAGGACGCCGGAGCGAGCGGGUGACUGACGGUAAGGUUGGCACAUGGUGUAACAGGUGUCCAGGCUGUACUGAUCGCACCAAGCACUUCACGUUCUCAUGGCUGCGGCUCGUUUUCCCAUCGGCUUACAGGAAACGUCGCCAUAUCUCUUCGAGCUAAUAACAAAAGCGUCUUAGUGCUAGCGUUAGCACCCUUUCCGGGCGGAUUCCUAUUCUCAGGUGACCGCCAGUCUCUUUCCGUCAAGCAACACGGAUCUCUGGGGUUUAAUUAAAAAGUGCUACAUUGUAUUCUUUCAAAUUUGGAUCUGUCUGUUGUGCCGUGUUCAGUGGAGUGAAACGUUUUUGUCGGGGAAAAACGUGUUUGCGCGUGGGUACUGGAAGGAAAAAGUGACAAUUUGUUGAUCGUUUAAGCCAAAAUUUUUGUCGCUACAUUUCCCAGGGAUGAAUGGUGCUUAAAUAAAUGGAGAUUAGUAACCUUUGCUAAAUUGGAAGCCAUUUUUUUUUUUUUUUGUAUUAAAAUCGUGCAAUUUCAAUGCAAGAGAAUCUGAUCUACGCCUACAGAUGAAGACUUGGGUUCCAUUAAGGUCUCAACUGAGGCGCUCUGUCAAUCCUGGUAUUCAAACUGACAACCUUCUGGUUUGCAGCACAGAACCUUAACCACUAAGACACUAUUGCUCAUUGUUGUAAUUGUCAAUCGCGUUUAUGCGCAUUAUUGAAUUGUUAUUAGUUUGCAUGUUGAGACAGUCAGAAGCAAAACUGGCUCUCUGUAUAUCCUGGAAUUUCUCCAUGUAGUGAAUAUUAGCCGAUUUGUAUCAGAAAUAUUUCACAUUCCAGAGUUGCAGUGUACCUAAAAACAACAACGUGUCUAUUUCUAUAUACUUUAUACAUUUUUUUUUUUUAAAUACUGUUUUUACACCAAUCUUUAUUGGUUUAUAAUAAUAAACCAAAUCUACAGAGCAAGCUACAGUUGAGGUUAUACGUUUAUACAUUAAUACAUUACUAAAUGAACAUAAUAACAAUUUACACCGAUCAUCCUGUUGAAAAGUUUGCACCCCCCCCCCGGCAUAGGUCUUAAUGUAUCGUGUUAUCUUCUCGAGCAUCAGUGAACGUUUGCACCUUUUGUAAAAGUCGUGUACGAGUCCCUCAGUCGUCCUCGGUGUGAAAAGAUGGAUCUCGACAUCGUAGAUGCUGUCAAAUGUGCAGAAGAUGCUGGAAAAGUAUAGAAUGUGCGGGACGUGGAGGAUUUUUCUGAAGAACUGUUCAGGACAAACAAGGGAAUUAUUGUUAUUAUUAUUUUUUUAAAAUGAACAUUUCUGCAAGGCGUACGUAAACUUAUGACCUCGACUGUAGUUUGUCAGUUGUUUGUUAGUUAGUUGUAAUCUGAUGUCAGUUACAGCUAGGCCUGUGUCCGGUGAUGGUUUAACGGCGUUACCGUGGUAACAGCCCCGAACAUGAAACAGUGAAGCGAGUGUACAGAGAAAAUGUUGCUUGGGAGUACAGUUCACUUCUGCGAGCACUGAGCACUGAGACAUGCGCGCUUCCUUUCCUGAGCUCGCGAGUCGACUUAAAGUAAAAGAACCGUGGCCUAAAGUGUAAAGUCUGUUUUAUUAGUAUUUGUUAGCAUUCACACCGUUAGCAUUCACCCCGCCCCUUGAUUGAACCAUUUACCACCGUUAUCUUCCACACGGUUGCCUGAGCGUCCGAGAUGACUGUUAGCGAAUAAACCGAUAUUUAAAUAUUUUUUUUCCCCCACACAGUUUGUUUCACACUGAUUUGAAAUAGGUUGCAUGCUGUAUGUGCUACACAACACAUCUAAUUUUAUGUUCGUUCUCGUUCCUAGAUAAAAUUGCAUAAGAUCAGGAAUUAUCGCGUUCAGCAUAAUCUAUCCGAGUUCAAAAUACCUCCCCGAGAAGCCUGAAUUCACCGAAGGUUAUAAAACGCAACAGGAACAGAUAAGGUUUUAAGAAACAUUUGAUUUAGCUUUAAAGCACAACAAGUGUAGUCGUCUGGCUGGCAGAUGAGGGCUGUUAGCUUAGCAGAAUUAGGCAUGUGGUGAGGAGAUGAAUGGCUCUAAUGAGGAAAGCUGUCAGCGCCGAGCAGAGAUACAGCACAGCUCUGGACACGCUAACGUCCGUAACCCUGCUGAGACACGAACCUCGGUGCUGGUGCUACGGUUAGCAUAAUGAUUCAGAAGAACGUGGAAGUGUUUUAGUAGUAAAUAGCGCACACAUUUAUUACUGAAGAAAAUACACAUUGUUUAAAAUGACUUUUUAUUUUGUUCUGGAAAAAACAAGUAUUAUUGUUAUUAGGAGAAUUGCAGAAGAUUUUCCUUUUCUUUUCUUUUUUUCUUUCUUUCUUUUUUUUUUUACUGCGUGUUGUUGCAAUUCAUUUAUCUCCAAUAAUUGACAGGCAAUAAUACAAAACUCCUAUUUUCCGAUGUAAAUAGAAAAAGGGGGCUUUAACUUUUGACUCAACAAAAAAGUGCCAUGUCAGACAUUUUGUUAUUUCUGUGUUCUCUAUUUGUUGUUAUUUGACUAUCUAUCUAUAUCUCUAUCUCUCUCUCUCUCUCUCUCUCUCUCUAUAUAUAUGUAUGUGUAUGUAUGUAUGUAUAUAUAUGUGUGUGUGUGUGUGUGUGUGAGAUAUCUCACUAUAGUUUCCACCAUUGCACAUUUACCAGCUACCCCACCUAAAAAAUGUUUUUUUUUUCCUAAAUGUUUUUAUAUAUUUAUAUUACUUUAACUAAUUCAAGUAAUACAAAAAACAUAACAAAAAGUUUUUUCAUGCAGUAGAGGGUUGAAAAAGCCGAAUGCUUCCACGAAGCUUCCCGUUCAGUCUCUCAGCACAGAAAUACAGUAAUAAUCCCCUUACCAUCCUGUUUGUUGAUGUUUAAGGCGAAGGUCGCCAUGGUUACCGUGGUACCUCGAACCACGUUACGUGACAUUUGGCUGUUAAUUUCUGCCCUUUUUUCUUCUUCCGCAUAAUAUAUGCGUUUUUUGUUUUUUUUUAAAGCUCCAAUCAGGAAUGAAAUACUUUGAGUAGUUUUACGCAGAAACAUUUUUUUUUAGUGUACACUUUGUGUCGGAUUUAAAGAUUAAACCGAGGUACUACGUGCGUUUUUUAGGAAGCUUUCUAACAGCUCGAGUGAACGGAGGCCCCUGCUGAAGUGUUGCUCUCGUCCGUGGGGUUUUCAACAUCCCCCUCACUGUUUUGGUCUCUAAGGGCCUUGCUACUUGUCUUGUUACCACGGCCACGGAGCGUCUGUUGUCCCAGAGGACCUUCGAGAGGAAGUCAUUGAACGUGAGGCAGAGAUAUGAAGACGGAUCAAUGCGACGCUUCUAGAACUAUUACCUUGCCGUGCACAAGUAUUCACCCCCUUGACUUUAUUUAUUUAUUUAUUUUACAUUUUGUAGUGUUCCAACCUGGAACUGAAAUGGACUAGAUUGGGAUUAUAUGCCAUGAGUCUACACAAAACACCACACAGUACUGAAGUGGGCUGAAAAUCAUUAUAAUUCAUCGUUUAUGUAUAAUACAAUCAUUAUAUGUUCCUGGAAGAACCCAGAGCUUGUUAGACAACAGACCUUAUCAAGCACCGUCAUGAACACCAAGGCGCUAUCAAGUUCAAGUUGUGGAUUAGUAUCAAUCAUGUUGUGAAUAGUGCGUAUUAUUCUGAAAACUCCUCCCAGAUGUUUUUCUUUCUUUCUUCAUGGUAGAAAGAGAGAAGACAUGAUUGACUGAGGGGAAAAGAUAGCGGUACAGAUUUGGCAAACUAAGAUGUAGCGCUUGUUCAGUCUGGAUUUGGUGUGUGUGUGUGUGUGUGUGUGUGUACAGAUAGGAGUUUGUGGGUGGGCGUGUUAUAUGUGGAAGCGUCUGUCUUUGGAGCUUCGUGCUCCUGAGUAUCACUUGGCUCGUAAUCACAGCCCAGGCAAUUACCUCGAUUCAGUAUUUGUCAUAAUUGCUUGACAUCACGACCUCAGACAGCACCGGUUACAUCGGCCACCUUCUGAGCUCACCGGUCCAACACUCGUGUACGAGACGAGUCCCUCAGUCGUCCUCGGUGUGAAAAGACGGAUCUCGACAUCAUAUAGUCGCCGUUUAAAGGAAAGGAGUCAAAUAUGUAGAAGAUGCUGGAGAAGUAAAGAAAGUGCCGGACCUGGAGGAUUUUUCUGAAGAACAGUGGGCGGUUUAACUGCUCAGGACAAACAAGGGACUCGUGAAGAACUCUCACAAAACAUAAACACAGUUUAGACAGAGUAAGUUUUAUUUAUUUAUUUAUUUAUUUAUUUAUUUAAAAUAACGUGGGGUUGGUAUUUUAGGGGUUAGCUACGUGCUCACGGAAGAGGUGGGUCUUUAGCAGUUUUAUGAAGAUAGUGACAGGUUCUGGGGUCCGGACUGAGGUCGGAGGUUCAUUCCAGCACUGACAGAGACAGAGAGAGUGAGGGAAAGACAACGAGGGAGAGACCGAGAGACAGCGAGAGUGAGAGAAAGACAGAGAAAGAGAGGGGGAGAGACCGAGAGACAGAGAGAGAGACCUUAGUGUGAAGGUUCUGGAAAGGGACCUUGAGCCACGCUGAGUAUGCACUACUAAGCGUCGGUCGUUAACCGAUUGCAGAUUGUGUGAGGGAGCGUAAGCCUUCAGGAGAGUGUUAGGAGAGGUUAAUGGGGUGCUGUUCCGGACAAGGUCUUGUACAGUGCGUGAGCAUCAAGGCCUUGAAUUUGAUACGGGCGGCUACAGGAAGCCAGUGGAGGGAGAUGAAGAGGGGUGUGACGUGGGUCCUGAUGCAUUCUGAAUCGUUUAAUUUUAUUAUUAUUUUUUUCUCUUUAUAUAUACAGUAUGUGCAUGUAGAGUACUGUAGUUCUGUGGAGUAACACUAGGUGGCGACACAGGCUGAGACGCUUCUCAUAUACAUGAUUAAAUGUCUGAUCUGACCGAGCUCACCCUUUAAAGUCGAAACCCUUUAAAAAUGUUGCAUGAGUGCAAUUUAUAACCCUGUGUCGCAUAUACUGACUCUUUUUCUUUCUUUAAGCAAAAUGGCAAGUCUUAUCCAUGUUACUAGGUCUCUAAACUGAGAUUUGAUGAUGUGUUGCGGGAAAAGAAAAAAAGAAGCACGACGUGAUAGUAACUUAACAUGAACUUCAUUUAAAAUAUUUAAAUCUGAUUAUUAUCGGGAAGUGCUGUUUCAUUCGAAGGAAGUCUUAGCAUGUGUGUAUGUCAGAAUAUCAUAACGCUAACAUUUAGUGAGCAGUGUGUGUGUGAGAGUGAGUGAGUGAAGCACCUUUGUGUGUUGUAAUAUAGGCUCUCUGAAAGCAGUCUAAAUCGAGCCUGUGUGUGAGGACAGAGCCUCUUUUGUCCCACCGCUAUCCCAGCAUGCCUUUGUGAGCACAAAGGUGGCCCAGUGCUGUAGAGCGGUGUGGCUAUGGGGAAAGGACAGGGAGCACUGUGUGCUGUCACACACACAAACACUCUCUCUCUCUCACACACACACACACACACACACACACACACACACACACACACACUCAGUGACUCGCCUCAUCGAGGCACCACUCAUUUCCCCAAGUGGAUGUUUGUGUAUGUGGAGGAUUUACUUCCUCAUGAGAUCAUUUGUGCUUUCCUUUCAAACUCUGUAUUUUUCCGCAAAAAAACGACUCGGACCCUGUGAGCGCUCCGAUAAAAUAAGAUUGCGUAAGAGACAAAACUCGCCCCUCUUUGCUUACGUCUACUGUGUACGUUGUUUUGUAUUUCCAGCCGAGUGCAAAAGUUUGUACCCCCUCAAGCAAACGGAUAAAGAAGGCAUUUUGUGCUCUAAGUUUCACAACUUAACAGCGACCGCAGCAAAAAAUUUCAUCAGCGUUUUUGUUUUAAAUGGCCUCAAUUUAAACAUGGCACAUUUUUUAAAUCUAACCAAGGAACAAAUCGAUAGAAAAAUGUUUAUUAUUUUGAAAUUU